rnacentral:misc_RNA from 1 species
AUAAGUUUACAACUCUACGCCGCGUUUGCUGCUUCGUAGUGUCCACGAAAAUUGUAGCAGCGAAGGAAAGCGCAAAAGAGGAAAAUAGAAAAUAUUUGCGCCGCCUUUGGCCUACUGCAAAUCGAAUCAACGGGAUUGAAAAAUCCUGCCCGAAUCGAGUAACCAAAGAGCUUCAUAUCGGAGGCCCUCGAGGGAUUUAUUUUAGUUAUUUAAACAUCUCCUGCAGCGAAGCAACGUUUCUAAUAAGCAAGCAUAUAUAAAUGGUUUCUACUUUCAUCGGCCUAUUGGACAUUCAAUCAUGGUGGGAGAUACCGUGUAUUUCGCAUUUCUGUUCAUUGUUUAGUUCCGCCUUCGAAUUACCCGAUAUAGACAUCGAGGACCUCGAAUCGGCGCUGCUCUCCGAUGGUACCAGCGAUGAGGAUCAGGUCGCCCUAGUGCCCGAACUGAUUGUGCGCCUCCUCAAGGGCUGCGAUGCGCUCCAAUCGGUAGCCAAGGAGAUCACACACAGCAACUAUCAAAUGUUCUUGCGCCGCCUGUUGCGCCAACAGUGUCGUCUGCAUCAAACAGAGAAUCCCUUCGACACGGACAUUGACUUUCAAUCGCUGCCACCGCGCAAGCGCCUCCACAUUCUGCACGAUCUGUGCCACUUUCGCCUGGAAUCGGCCGAUGUGCAGGUCAUACUCAGCAAUCUAGAGGCGGACAGCCUGCGCGUAGAGCCACUCGGCCACGACGCCAAAAAUUCCGGAUAUUGGUAUUUCUACGGCACCCGUCUAUACCGCGAGGACAAGGCCGUUGGUGGGGCCGCUGCAGCAGCCGCAGCAUCUGCUGGCGGUGCAGGCAACAACUGCAAUACCGUGUGGCAGGUCAUCUGCUUCACCGAGGAGGACUGGCAGAACUUGGCGGCCAAAUUCAAGACCUCUAAGAAUGCCAAAGAGCGUGAUCUCUUCCAAAUACUCAACAAGAACUUUCUGCCCAAGCUGCCGCAGCUAUUCCGCGAGCGUGAACGUCUAAGGAGGAGAAAACUCCUGCAAGUGCGAAACUCAAGUCGCAUUCGCAGCAUCGCUGAACUGAAGGCGCGCCAGGAGGAGGAGCGUCAGGAGCGGGAGCGCGAGAACGAGAGGGAACGCCAGCGAAACGAGCGCGAGCAGCUCUACAGAGAGCGCCAGAACGCACACUGGGUGGCGCCGCCGUCCCAGAACCAGAACCAGCGCACACGCAGACGGUUAGAACGCCCAGUAUUAUAAAGAAAACAGAACAGAAGAACCUGGAGGACACGCACCAGAAACAGAAAACAUGCAAUACAUUACUCUCUCAUCCUUGAUUUCGUUAAUUCGUUAAUUGAUCGUUGAGUUGCCUUUAAUUUUCAUUUUGUUAAGAAAAUUAUACGUUUUGCAAUCAGAAUUCAUUCAAAAUCCAUCUACAUCAACGCGCUAGCCAUCGGAAGACGACCCCGCAGCGGAUGCCCAGAGCAAGGAUCAGCACUUAAUUUGAUUUUUGCCCAUCAUUUAGUUUUGUGUAUGGGAUAAUUAAUUGGAAUUCCAUUUCAAAAUACACUCUAUCUCAAUCAACAUCAACGGCCAGCGGGAAACCUUUUGCCUAUCGCCAGAAAGUGAAGAAGACACCGACACCGAGGAGGACGAAGACGACAG